AGUGAACGCUGGCGGUAGGCCUAACACAUGCAAGUCGAACGGCAGCACAGUAAGAGCUUGCUCUUACGGGUGGCGAGUGGCGGACGGGUGAGGAAUACAUCGGAAUCUACUUUUUCGUGGGGGAUAACGUAGGGAAACUUACGCUAAUACCUCAUACGACCUACGGGUGAAAGCAGGGGAUCUUCGGACCUUGCGGGAUUGAAUGAGCCGAUGUCGGAUUAGCUAGUUGGCGGGGUAAAGGCUCACCAAGGCGACGAUCCGUAGCUGGUCUGAGAGGAUGAUCAGCCACACUGGAACUGAGACACGGUCCAGACUCCUACGGGAGGCAGCAGUGGGGAAUAUUGGACAAUGGGCGCAAGCCUGAUCCAGCCAUGCCGCGUGGGUGAAGAAGGCCUUCGGGUUGUAAAGCCCUUUUGUUGGGAAAGAAAAGCAGCAGGUUAAUACCCCGCUGUUCUGACGGUACCCAAAGAAUAAGCACCGGCUAACUUCGUG
rnacentral:rRNA from 1 species